AAUGAGGACGGAUUUGACUGCUUGCAACCUCUUUAAAAAAAAUGCUAAAACUU
rnacentral:ncRNA from 1 species